rnacentral:ncRNA from 2 species
AACAUCUUGUCGGAGUGCCUAGCGCUGAUUGCUUCAUUAAAUCAGCCAGGCUGAGACCGUUAAUUCGGGAUCCGCGGAACCUGAUCGGGUUAAUACCCGCGAAGGGAACAAGAGUAAUCUAUUG